rnacentral:rRNA from 1 species
CCCUUAGAUGUUCUGGGCCGCACGCGCGCUACACUGAUGAAUGCAACGAGCUCUACCCUCGACCGAAAGGCCCGGGUAAACUUGUGAAACUUCAUCGUGAUGGGGAUAGAUUAUUGCAAUUAUUAAUCUUCAACGAGGAAUUCCUAGUAAGCGCGAGUCAUCAGCUCGCGUUGAUUACGUCCCUGCCCUUUGUACACACCGCCCGCCGCUCCUACCGAUUGAAUGGUCCGGUGAAAUCUUCGGAUUGCUGACCAAGAUCCAGCAAUGGAGCUUGGUUGCGAGAAGUUGAUUAAACCUUAUUAUUUAGAGGAAGGAGAAGUCGUAACA